AAUGAUAUCUACAACUUCUACUUUCUGCCCUGCAAAGAUUUCUGAGGCAAAGAAACACAAAGCCUGAUUACCCACUGAAAACCAAGAAAGGAGGUGAAACUACAAGGAGAAAAAGAGUUUAACCAAUUAACUUGCCAUUUAUGUAAAUUGUUUAGCACAAGGCACAAUACUUAACAAACAGGAACAAUUAUCAUUCCUGUGUGCCAGAAGCAGUCAACGCAAAAUAACACAUGGAUCCUGCCCUCAAUGACCUCACACUCUAGUGAGAAAGACAGACAAGAAAAGAGUUAUUCUCCUGACUUUCAAGCCAGAUAUGUACCACAACUGCAUUCUAGUUAACAAGAAGAGGUCAAGAUGAAGACUAUGACAAGUUGUUACAUCCCUAAGAAUAUAAUCUGAAAGCUGGACUUAUUACUUCCUCUACAGCUCAUUGGCCAGAAAUUAGUAACAUGUCCACACCAGGCAGCAAGUGGUGUGAGUAAUGCUAGUCUGUAACUAGGGAGCCAUGGGAUCAGCUAAAAUGUAGUAUAUUCUAGUAUUAAAAAGAAGAAGAAAAUGGAUACUGGGAGUGACAAAGAUUCUUUCCUUGGCCAAACCCUAGCCAGGCUCCUCUGAGCUCUCUUCUCAACUAGGCCUCAAUCUUGACCCACUACUUGAAUAAAAUGCUAACAUCGUUUUUAACAGCAAAGGCAACCUCCCUAGGUUAACCCUAGACUCCCUUAAAGUGCCUGCCUGAAAAAGUUCAAGGUUACCAAAAUACCUUAUUAUUUGUUCCAGCCAAUAUUUGAAGCUAAGGCCCCUGUCUCUCAGCCUCUGUUGGAGUGUAAGAGCUUAAUUUUUAAAAGUUAC
rnacentral:lncRNA from 1 species